GACAUUGCAAUCCGAAGAGAAAAAACAGCUUCAGAAACGGCUUGAACAUAAGGAAAAGGAAGUGACGGCACUAAAGGAAAUAAAGGCAGUUCUGGAAACAAAAAAUGAGAAUCUAAAACAAGCGAUGGUUAUUAUGCAGGCGGACUGUUCUGAGCGAGGCGAAGACAAUGAGCUAAGCGAUCUACUAAAACCAAUAGCUGAGAAAGACGUUCAAUUAGAGAUGCAGUGUGGCCUUUUAAGGGAUCAACUGAAGUACAUCGAAACAGAAUCGUGCCCUGUUGGUCCCUGUUUUGAGGUAAUAAUGUAUUCGCUGUAGCUGUGUUCAUGUUCGUUGAUUAAUCGAUGUAGUAGGUUAACACACAAAACACGCUAUUUUAUACAAAGGCUGAACGUAUAAGUAUGUUCCUAAAUCGGAUAUAAUCAUGCAUUAUAUAAUUUGUAAAAAGAUUCAAUCCAAUAAACGCUAUUCGCAUUAUAAAUUGUAUGAUAAGAUGUUGCAUUAACCAUACAAUGUUUGAUUCGGACAUAUUUGAGGUUCUAGAAAAUGUAGUUGAGCGACCCAUUUAAAAAAGUAUAAUUUUAAAAUGAUAACGUAAAUAUAUAAGUGAUCCAAAAAAAACAUGCAUUAAUGCACUUCAUAUUGAGACAUAUAUUGAUUUCAUUCAAACUAUUGAACUAUCAUUUGGUUAUAAACAAAUGCUUAUUGUGAAACAUACGUUAUUUAUUUCGUUAUUACGUGUAAGCCGAGCAGUGGAGAGGA